ACUCACUCUAUGAAGCUUAAUUCAAGUUGUGGGUCUAUCAAAACACACAGAAAAAAUGGCCAGGCCCAGUGGUUCAUGUCCGUAAUCCCAGCACUUUGGAGGCAAAGGAUGGCAGAUCACUUGAGCCCAGGAGUUGUUCGAGACCAGCCUGGGCCACAUGGCAAGAUCUCAUCUCUACAACAAAUACAAAAAUUAGCAGGCAUAGGAGCAAGCACCUUUAGUUCCAGCUACUUGAGAGGCUUCGGUGGGAGGACGGCUUGAGCCCGGGAGGUGGGGGUUGCAGUGAGCCAAGAUUGUGCCACUGUACUCCAGCCUUGGGGACAGAGCCAGAUCCUGUCUCAAAAAACAAAAAUAAAAACAAGCACAUACACAAGGAAAAACAAAACCCUCUUGGCAUCCCCUGUCUGCAGUCUGUGACUUGCCAUUGUGGCUCUCCUGCAGAGAUGUUGCAUCCUACUCCAGCCAUGCCACAUCACCACGCCCAAGCAAUCCCGCAGGACAAGGACCACAUGGCCCCUGUGAGAUGUUCUCCGUGGGAAGCAUGAAGUUCACAGUGCACCUGCUAGGUUUGGCGGCCUGCAAGCGGCCAGAGGCUGUUUGCUGGGAGGAGCUCACUCAUGCCAGUGAGAGAUGAACUGAGGGAAAUGAGUUUUACCAGAUCCUGGAAGAGAAAGGAGCAGGGCCCGGUGGGUGGGCCCACUCAUUUCAAUAAGAAUCCAACGUCUCAGUGCUUAUCAAAAGCAAACCAAGCCUGCAGGCCCUUUUCAGGUUUAUGGAUCUCCAGUCCACAUCCAGGACCUUUCCUCAGGAUUAAAUGAAACUUAAACCUGCUAAAUAAACACAGGCACAAAAUAAUCAUUGAGAGUCAUUCACUGAGCAUCAAUCAUCGCAGCCAGAGUGUUUCUCGUCUUGACAGCUUACUGUAGGGAGGGAUCCCUGAGUGCUCAGGAACAAAGGUGAGGGGAGGGAGGAGAAUAUAGCAACAGAGAGGAAGAUCUUUAUACAGCAAGCUCAGGAAGAAAAUUAAAUGAAGAAAUACAGUUAUCAACAGAAAGAGAAAUCCAAAAUUGGGUGAGAGGUUUUUGUGGUAGAGGUUACAAUGGGCUCUUCUUUCUCCUUUUAAUCCAAAGUAAUAAAA
rnacentral:lncRNA from 10 species